GAUGAACGCUGACAGAAUGCUUAACACAUGCAAGUCUUUGGCGAAGCUGUGCUUGCACAGCCUAGCCAAGGCGGACGGGUGAGUAACGCGUAAGGAACUUGCCCUGCAGUCAGGGAUAACAGACGGAAACGACUGAUAAGACCUGGUAAAGUCAGGCGGACUCAUGUCCAGCCUGAUGAAAAGAGAUGCUGCAGGAGAGCCUUGCGUCCUAUUAGCUUGUUGGUGGGGUAACGGCCCACCAAGGCGAUGAUAGGUAGCCGGCCUGAGAGGGUGGACGGCCAAAAGGGGACGGGGAAACGGCCCUUACUCCUACGGGGGGCAGCAGUGGGGAAAAUUGGACAAGGGGGCAACCCUGAUCCAGCAAUUCUGUGUGCACGAUGAAGGUUUUCGGAUUGUAAAGUGCUUUCAGCAGGGAAGAAAAAAUGACGGUACCUGCAGAAGAAGCGACGGCUAAAUACGUG
rnacentral:rRNA from 1 species